GACGAACCGAGCGAACGUUGUUCGGAAUCACUGGGCUUAAAGGGCGCGUAGGCGGGUGCUCAAGUCCGUGGUGAAAUCCUCCGGCUCAACCGGAGAACUGCCUCGGAUACUGGGCGUCUCGAGUGUGGUAGGGGUAUGCGGAACUAUCGGUGGAGCGGUGAAAUGCGUUGAUAUCGAUAGGAACUCCGGUGGCGAAGGCGGCAUCCUGGACCGGCAUUGACGCUGAGGGAGCGAAAGCCAGGGGAGCAAACGGG
rnacentral:rRNA from 1 species